GCAGCACAUAAAAAGGAAUGCAGGGAGACCUGUGCGUGGGACUCCAUGGGAUUCCGAAGCUAAGGUUCACAAAGUUCCCAGAUCACCUGGUCAAAUUCUCGGCACACCUUUUGAGAACUUCAGCGUUACUCUCAAUGAGAUAAAUCAGAUUUGACUUUUCUUCAAAAAGACUGACGUUUGUGCUGCCUGCAGUUCGAUGGUAUUGAUACCAAGAGAAUAUUAUGCUUUGGUUAUAUGCAUUGCUCAGCUUUAAGAAAGGUAUCCUGUGGAACCCUUCUAUUGCUUUACAGAGUGUCCCUAGGAGAACCCUGGUUCUUGAAUCUCCCAUGUGUGAACUCAACAAGGUGGUAGAAUACCCUUGACAAAGGUAGCUCUUUUGUAAGGUGCAUUGGCCCUGGUAGUUACCUUGCUUCUGCAAAAUAAAAUUAGGGAGGACAGAUUGAAUCA
rnacentral:lncRNA from 1 species